rnacentral:rRNA from 1 species
UACGUAGGGUGCAAGCGUUGUCCGGAAUUAUUGGGCGUAAAGAGCUCGUAGGCGGUCUGUCGCGUCGGCUGUGAAAACCCGGAGCUCAACUCCGGGCCUGCAGUCGAUACGGGCAAACUGGAGUGUUGCAGGGGAGACUGGAAUUCCUGGUGUAGCGGUGAAAUGCGCAGAUAUCAGGAGGAACACCGGUGGCGAAGGCGGGUCUCUGGGCAACAACUGACGCUGAGGAGCGAAAGCGUGGGGAGCGAACAGGAUUAGAAACCCCAGUAGUCC